rnacentral:rRNA from 1 species
GAUGAACGCUAGCGGCAGGCUUAAUACAUGCAAGUCGAGGGACAGCACAGGUAGCAAUACUGGGUGGUAACCGGCAAACGGGUGCGGAACACGUACACAACCUUCCUUUAAGUGGGGGAUAGCCCAGAGAAAUUUGGAUUAAUACCCCGUAAUAUAGUUGAAUGGCAUCAUUUGAUUAUUAUAGUUACGGCGCUUAAUGAUGGGUGUGCGGCUGAUUAGAUAGUUGGCGGGAUAACGGCCCACCAAGUCCACGAUCAGUAGCUGAUGUGAGAGCAUGAUCAGCCACACGGGCACUGAGACACGGGCCCGACUCCUACGGGAGGCAGCAGUAAGGAAUAUUGGUCAGUGGACGCAAGUCUGAACCAGCCAUGCCGCGUGAAGGAUUAAGGUCCUCUGGAUUGUAACUUCUUUUAUUUGGGACGAAAAAGGGCCUUUCUAGGUCAACUGACGGUACCAGAUGAAUAAGCACCGGCUAACUCCGUGCCAGCCGCCGCCGUAAUAC